rnacentral:rRNA from 1 species
AGUGAACGCUGGCGGUAGGCCUAACACAUGCAAGUCGAACGGCAGCACAGGAGAGCUUGCUCUCUGGGUGGCGAGUGGCGGACGGGUGAGGAAUACAUCGGAAUCUACUCUGUCGUGGGGGAUAACGUAGGGAAACUUACGCUAAUACCGCAUACGACCUACGGGUGAAGGCAGGGGACCUUCGGGCCUUGCGCGAUUGAAUGAGCCGAUGUCGGAUUAGCUAGUUGGCGGGGUAAAGGCCCACCAAGGCGACGAUCCGUAGCUGGUCUGAAAGGAUGAGCAGCCACACUGGAACUGAGACACGAGCCAGGCUACUACGGGAGGCAGCAGUGGGGAAUAUUGGACAAUGGGCGCAAGCCUGAUCCAGCCAUACCGCGUGGGUGAAGAAGGCCUUCGGGUUGUAAAGCCCUUUUGUUGGGAAAGAAAUCCAGCUGGCUAAUACCCGGUUGGGAUGACGGUACCCAAAGAAUAAGCACCGGCUAACUUCGUGCCAGCCGCCGCAGUAA